GCGGACACUGGCGGGACAGGGGACACACGAAGAUUUCAUAUAUGUAACACCAGUACAACUGGAAGUGAAGUCCGCGGAUCUGGGGCGGGCUGCAAAUGGGGGAGCGCAGUGCGAUCCCUGACACCUGUCUGUCUGUCGGCAGGUUUUCUCUCUUCUGGUCGCUACUCUCCAGUUCCACCUCUCUGUCCGGCUCGCCUCUUAUCCGUGCACACCGCACCACAGGAGGAGGAGGCCUAACAAGUCUCUUGGCGGCCGAACCUUAUUCCUUGGCAAACACAAAAGCCAGUCGGGUUAAGCGUCCCUUCCUCGGGUUAAUGCACGGGGAGAGAAAAAGCGCCUCCACUGCAGCGCCGGAGCAAACCCCGCCUGCCCGGGUUCCCUGUGGGGGGAAGUGGAGAGCGGGCAGGUUUAGAAAAGAGCACCUGCCUUCCCCCGGGAAGUGUCAGAGGGACCUGGGCCAGGAUAUAGCAGUCACCGCGGAUCCUCCUACCUCCGUGUCAGGGUUGUGUCAGAGUCUAGAAGCGGGAUGCGCUGUGGUUCGGCCGUGGAGAUGCGUUUGCUCCUGAGCCUUUUAGUAGUUACUCUCUCCCCAGGGGCUGCUUCGGCUGAAUCCAUCCAGUCCGCGGCAGCUCAGGUGUCUGCAGCAGGAGGAGGCACGGUGACACUCAGAUGUUCCUACAAUACCAGCUAUAAUGCCGCUUCCUAUCUGUACUGGUACUGCCAGUACCCGAACCGCACCCUGCAGUACCUGCUCUAUAGAGGAGCGAAGACAGCCAAAUCAGCCAGCUCCACUGCAGACUUCGCCCGGGACCGGUUUUCUUCUGAGACGGAUGACACCUCCACAGAGAUGAAGAUCACCGCCCUGGAGCGGGCAGACACAGCGGUGUAUCACUGCGCCCUGCAGGAGGCACAGCGAGAGCGUGACAAGGUGAGCUGUACAAAAACCCCUCCUGCCUGCACACGCAAGUAGGGGCCCUGUCGUGACACAUCAGAGGACACUCUCAAGUCCUCUUGUUGUCCCCUGGGUGCUCCCUGGAGACGAGGCUCUGCUCCGCGUGACAGCCUGUGCCACGAACGCUGUGUGAGGAGCAGCCGGUUUGGAUGCGGAUGCAAUUCCCUGCUCCCCCUGCGCGGCCCCGAGCAACUCAGCCACGACCCAGAAUGCGCAGGGACCGG